rnacentral:lncRNA from 1 species
UGAAGCUGAACGAACGGACAGAAGGACGAACAAACUGACGCCCAGACCAGAAAACAUAAUGCCCCUCUUCUAUCGUAGGUGGGGCAUAAAAAGGCAAAUUAUAUCAAAGAGUCAUUCAAACUUAUUAGUCAAAGACAUACUGACAACUCCUUGACAUUAAAACAAAAAACGACGUAAAUUCAACAACAGUAAUACAAACAAACCCACAGCAACCACAGCAAAG